AUUGAACGCUGGCGGCGUGCCUAACACAUGCAAGUCGAGCGGUAACAGGUGUAGCAAUACAUGCUGACGAGCGGCGGACGGGUGAGUAACGCUUGGGGAAUCUGCCCUAUUAGUGGGGGACAACCCGGGGAAACGUCGGGCUAAUACCGCAUACGCUCUACGGAGGAAAGCCGGGGACCGCAAGGCCUGCGCUAAUAGAUGAGCCCAAGUCGGAUUAGCUAGUUGGUAGGGGUAANGGCCUACCAAGGCGACGAUCCGUAACUGGUCUGAGAGGACGACCAGUCACACCGGAACUGAGACACGGUCCGGACUCCUACGGGAGGGCAGCAGUGGGGAAGUAUUGGACAAUGGGCGAAAGCCUGAUCCAGCGACGCCGCGUGGGUGAAGAAGGCCUGCGGGUUGUAAAGCCCUUUCAGUGGGGAAGAAAAGCCUCGACCUAACACGUCGGGGUCUUGACGUAACCCAUAGAAGAAGCACCGGCUAACUCUGUGCCAGCCGCCGCCGU
rnacentral:rRNA from 1 species